rnacentral:lncRNA from 1 species
GGUGAUUUGGUGCAUUUUACUGCAUAAAAUGGUACAGCAGUGGUGAAUUUUGGAAAUCUGCUGUUUCUUUGCUGUUUUACGGUUUGAGCAAGCUUAAAUUGAUGGUUUAAAGUUGCUAGCACUGUUCAUUUGGUCAAAACUUAGCAUAUAUGCAGAUUAGCCUUUUAAACCAUCACUUUUUGGUUAAAAAUGGAAGUGAACCAGUGAUUUUGAGUUACAAUCAGUUUCUGAGUUGUUUAAGAGUUUGAACAUGCUUAAAAUCAUCAAGCAAAGUUGUUUGGUUAGUCAC